rnacentral:rRNA from 1 species
UACGAAGGAUGCAAGCGUUAUCCGGAUUCAUUGGGUUUAAAGGGAGCGUAGGUGGCCUUAUAAGUCAGUGGUGAAAUCUCGCAGCUCAACUGCGAAAUUGCCAUUGAUACUGUAGGGCUUGAGUAUAGUUGCCGUUGGCGGAAUAUGACAUGUAGUGGUGAAAUACAUAGAGAUGUCAUAGAACACCGAUUGCGAAGGCAGCUAACGAAACUAUAACUGACACUGAGGCUCGAAAGUGCGGGGAUCAAACAGG